GACAAGGAGCUAUUGAAUCUAACAGGAGCGAAAACCGACGAAUGUUGAAUAUUAAACUAACUUCACCCCGGUCAUCUACACCAGUAUUUCAACCCCGGCUCUCCACUCAAUCCCCGCUUGAUCGUUGUCGCUCCAGACUUGGUCCACUCAUCUCCGUCUCCCGUUCGGUCAGCUGGGCUCGCCUACCUGCCUUCUCCCCUCGCAUCACCUCCACGGCGCUCCCCCUCGCUCAUCGCCUGUUCGCCAGCCACCACAUCCCUUCCCACCUCGGCCUCCUGUCCCCCUUGGCCCUCUCGCCUGAACCUCUCCAGCCCCGUCAGCUCCUCGGUCCUCCGCGCCCACGUCUGCCAGUGUCCAUCUCCCCCCUUUUCUCCCGCACCUCGACUACCCUUUUUCUUCCCUUAAUAAAUUUCUUUAAAACCA